CCUACGGGUGGCAGCAGUGAGGAAUAUUGGUCAAUGGACGAGAGUCUGAACCAGCCAAGUAGCGUGAAGGAUGAAUGCUCUAUGGGUUGUAAACUUCUUUUAUAUAGGAGUAAAAUGCUCCACGUGAGGGAUUUUGUAUGUACCAUAUGAAUACGGCUCGGCUAACUCCGUGCCAGCAGCCGCGGUAAUACGGAGGAUCCGAGCGUUAUCCGGAGUUAUUGGGGGUAGAGAGAGCGUAGGUGGAUUGUUAAGUCAGAUGUGAAAGUUUGAGGCUUAACCGUAAAACUGCAGUUGAAACUGGCAGUCUAGAGUAUAGGAGAGGUAGGUGGAAUUCGUGGUGUAGCGGUGAAAUGCGUAGAGAUCACGAAGAAUACGGAUUGCGAAGGCAACUCGCUAGAAUGCAACUGACACUGAUGCGCGAAAGUGUGGGGAGCAAACAGGAUUAGAUACCCGGGUAGUC
rnacentral:rRNA from 1 species